CUUCCCUCAGGAAGUCUGUGCAUGUGUGUGUUUGCACAUAUUUCUCUUAGGUUACCUUUCCUUCAUGGAGUGGGAGGGAGGUAUUAAGGAGGAGACAGUGAUCUAUCACCUCGAACUCUUGAAGACACACUGAUCUAUCACCCUAUCAUUCUUGCACGUUGUUUUAAAAAUGAACCUCAAGUAUUGUCAUGUUUCUUCUGGUAUGAAGAGAGAUGAAAAGUAUAAGCUCACGUUUGGAGAGGCAGCACAUUGAGCACCACAGACUGGAGAGGACAAGAUGCACGGGCAGAGCUCUGGAGCGCUGGCAGUGAGCACCAGCUGACUGGAAGCUGCUGCAUUUCUUGCACUGACUAAUAUGAAGAUCCCACUCAGUCUCUGGCCAUACAUACAAUUUGUAGAGCAACUUAAUCUCAAGAGUUCCCCACCAGUUUACUCGUAAUUUUUGAAGGUCACGUUGGUCUCAGAGGCACUCUACUGAUAGACAGUUAGUAAUUCAUUAUUUUUGGAUUUUCAUAACCAUGGUUAGAAGUUAUUUUGUGGCUUCAGUAAUAAAGACGUCAUUUUCUCAUGCAACGGAGGAACACAGGGAGAAAGUAAUUAAGAGCCACUGUACAAUGCCCCUAUCUACUGAAGACAGUAGUGAAAAUGUUCAUUUUCAUGACAGUAAGAGGAAAAACACAUAUGAGACUAAAAGAAACUUAGUCAUAUGUGUAACAUUAGGGAUGAGUGGAUUUAGAAUGGAUACACAAUCAUUGCUCCCUAAAAUGCUGCAUAUAAAACCUCCAAAGUCCUGUAAAAUGUAUGUUUUGCUAACUAGCAAAAAAAAAAUUUGAAAUAUUUAAAAUAUUUGUAUCUGGAGUAUAAUUUGUAUAAUUUUAAGAGAGCCUUAGUACAACAACUGAUCUGUAGUCUCUUUACACUGGGUUUAGAACAAAUAUGAAAGAACAACCCAUGUUAUUCAGUGAUGGACAAGGGAGUCUUUUAAAGUGGGUGAGUGAUGUGUGUAUUUAAAGGCUUCCAUUGCUCUCUGGUGGUAAAUGUUCCCAGGCACCAAACAUCUUCCAAAUGGUCAAAACCAGAGUUUUUUCAAUCUCCUCUAAAUUCUAAGCUAUUUUCUUUCAUCUUUCUCAGUCCACCCUUGCCUGUUCCUGUCUUGGGUUCAUGUGAGUGCAAAAGAGUUCUGUGGUACUGCUGCUUAGUGCCCAGAAAAAGCUGUGGUGUGCAGCUCUUAUGUGCUGCAGCUAAUUAGUGUCAGGAGGAACAAAACUAGAAAGAAAAAAAAUGAUAUCUUGAAAAUAUUCUUAAGUUGUUUUUUUUUAAUAGGACCAAAAAAUAAUUUCUCUCUCCUAGGCUGGUGUCAGAAAAACAGAACCCAAUUCACGAAAGAAAUUCUUCCUGAAGUACCGCAUCAGAAAAAUUGAAAUUGUUCAAAGUCUUGCUGAAAUCACUGACCACUAUGAGACGAGAAGGCCACUGAGCAUUAGUCCAGGUCUACCAGCCAUGGCCCAGAAAUGUUUCCUACAAGCGCUUGGCUUUUCACGGUGCUGCCACUUGAUGGUGCCACGGUGUUGCACUGAAAACCUACAGCGGGUCAAUCGCUUGAACUGUGGAAUUCAGCCCCACCAGGUUCUUGAAGUGUUUUCUUUAAAAUGAACAAUACCUACUGUUCUAU